UGUGUGUGUCCCCUGCUGCUGCUGAGAACAGACCACAGGGUCAGUAGGACUGUACCCUCAGGAGUUUUCUGUCCAAGAAAAUACAGGGGAGAGAGCGGCCUGGACUACGGGGAUGGUCCCAGCAAAGCCCUGGUGUGGGGCAGAGGCGGCCGCGUGUCUGGGCUGUCCUCUCUGAGGUCCCGCCCACUUCUCAUCGUCCCCCUCCACUCCAGUCGUGACUGAAUUCUUCCCGCUCCACUGCCUCAUCCCUUGGUGCCUUGGCCAGUGGGCCUAGAAUGCUCUUCCCCCACGUCCCCUGCCUGGCAAACUCCUAGUUUCCUCAGCCUCUGUGCAGCAUCACCUUCUCUGAGCCCCUCACCAGACUGUCUGGAGGGCCCCUCCUCCGCUUUCUCCAGGACCCUGACCUGACUGUAAUACUGUAGUAGAUAUUAACACAUGUUAUCUUCACCACUCUAUAUGGAAACACUAGUAUCUUCAUCCUACAGAUGAGGUCACUGCGGUGCAGAGAAGUUAAGCAGGUUGCCCAAGGUCACACAGCUACUUCCUGUAUGUCAAAACACUCUUGUAAUUGUUUACAAGUCUGACUCCCUUCCCAUCUAGGAGGGUCUCCAGGCUGGCCUUCCCCAUCUGGCUUCAUGAUGCCUUUCUGGGCCAGAGUCCAAGGGAUGUUUGUCCACCAAAGCGUGCACACUGGCCCAUGAAACAAGCAGCCAUCCCGGAACCCCCACAGGUCAGCCGCCACACCAGUCACAGGACGUCGCCUCUGCUUCCCGGGCUGCUACCCUCCCUUCCUAGAGAGACAGGGAGGUGACAGCAGGGUACAGACUCCGGCAGCAAGAAAACAAACAGCACCCAGCUCCCCACCUCCCACGUUUCUCGGAACUGGCUGCCCUUCCGGCUCUCAGGCAUGAAGGAGUUCUUCGAAGAGGGACCAGGGAGAGGCAAGAAAGAUGCAGACAACACAGAGCGACAGUGGAAACAUUGACCCGUCCUCAUAAGCCACGUACUUCAUAAAUCAUGCAUCUUUGCCCAGAUGUCAGCCACCUUCACCCAGCUGUCACCAUCCAUCCUCGGUGCCCUCCUGGGUGCCAAUCCCACACCUCGGGUCAAGGGAGACCCUCAGCCCACGUGGCUUUCAUCCUCAGAACAGGCCAGCUCCCCCUCUCCUCCUUAGGUCCCCAGGUCUGUUUCUCGCAAUGGCACCUGCCCAGCCGGUGACUUCACAGGAUCCUUGCCCGUGGGCACGUACCACAGAGCCAAGCUGAUUUGACUGUAUUCCUCUGUGGGCCGGAUGUCCCCCUGCUCUUGUCUUCCUCUAUAUUCCUUACAGAUGCAUCAACAGCUAGUGGGUGAAAAUGCUCCACCGGCCCCUCCAGCCUCUCUGCAAACAUGUGCAAGCACACAGAGCCACUCACAACUACAAACACACAUACGCACCAGAGACGCACCCACAGGCUGCGGAGUUCUGAUUUCUCCCACUGCUUCUGGUGGCUCUGUUCUUUGCAUAGAGCUCUGCAAGGCCAGAUUGGGAUGAGGACCGUUUGGAGAACAGUACUCCAUGAGUCACGGAUGGCUUUCCUGGAAGCCACUGCCUCCAUAGACUCUGGAAAUAACAAGGGGCUCUCAGUCACCAGCAUCAGCAAGGCCACUGCAGCCACAAUCAGUCAGAAUUAGGUUAAGCCAACAACAGUGGGUUAAACCAGUGUUUCUCAAACUUGAACAGGCAUACAAAUCACUGAGGAUCUAGUUAAACCGUAGAUAUUGAUCCAGUAGGUCGGGGUGGCACACAAGAUCGUACAUCUCUAACAAGCUCCCAGGAGAUGCCAGUGCUGCUGGUCCUUGGGACGCACUUCGAAGAGCAGGAGCUUAAACAAGAUCGUUUAUUUCUCCCUCAUGUUCUUGAAGUCCAGAAGGAGUCAGUCCAGGGCUGGGAUGGCACUCCACGGUCUCAGAGACCCACUUUCCUUCUAUCUCGUUGCUCUACCAUGUGUGAUUUCCAUUUUCAAGGUGAUUCUCAUGAUGCAAGAUGGCUGGUGGAGCUCCAGCCAUUGCACUGCACUUUCUCAGAAAGCAAGAACUGAUAGAAGAAGUGCUUGCCCCUUGCCUGUAGGAAUACAUCGGAAUUUGCACACUUCCAUGCAUAUGCCUCUAGCCACAGUGAAGCCACAUGGCCUCACCUUUGUCCAUCUGCAAAGGAGCUGGGAAGUAGUCUUUUUUUGGGGCUAUCAUGUGCCCAACUGAAAACUGGAAGUUCAAUUGCUGAGGAAGUAGAUAAAGCACAUUGGGAGGCAGUCAGUAAUCUCCAACACACAGCAGGCUGAGAUGGAAAUGUGAGCAUUUCUGAACCUUUGCCGGCAGUGCCAGUUUUUUGUCUUCCGGGACCAACCAUGAGAGUGAGCCUGGGCCCCCACUGCUGCCCGCCGUCUCUCAGUCCACUUUAAGGCGAGUCUGGUAAUAUGACCAGCCGCACAUGCUGAGCUCGGAGGCUGCGUGAGUCGUGGCGAAGCCUGAGGCCCUGCGGGCAGACAGCCCAGGUUCACAUUGGUUCUACUGGUUAUUGGCUAUAUGACCUCGGACAAGUGACUUAAACUCUUUGUGCCUCUGUGUCCCAUCUGUGAAUGGGGACAACGCUGGUGUCUCUCUCCACGUGUUGGUGUGGGCACGAAAGGAGCAGAGGCCGCCGAUGAGCACCCAACAGACACCAGCCCUGGUGAGGAAACGAGGCCGCCCCAGUGCUCUUCACCCGCCCGCCGUGCACCACACCCUGUGUGCUCUGUGUGCGAGGAAGCGCCAGGAGGAGGCGGAGACCCAAGGCCGUCCUGGAGGAGCUGACAAUUUAUAGCUGUGUCUGACUCUGAAUGAAUGACCUUGGGGCUACACAGUGGAAGACCAGCCAUUUAUUUGGAGAGACUCUCAGUUUGCUAAGAAAAUUUCAGGAUGAUUUUCUUCCGGACUUUCUUCAAAUGAAUUUUUUGCAGAAGAAAUGAACCAAAACUCUACUGUGAUAGCUUCGUAUCGCCUUGGCGAGGUGGAACUCCAUUCUCCCGAAUUCCUUUUCUGGCCUGUUUCUGAUUAGGACUAUACAAGGCAGGUUCUCAGGAGCGAGUGGGCAGGAGGAAGGGAGGCAGCGGGCAUUCUGUAGCACGCGCUUGGUCAACACACAGAGCACUCCUCUGCCGACCCAUGUGAAGCAGCACAGGCACAGAAGUCGGUGUUAGAUGAAGAGCCCGGGGCCCGGCGGGAUUCCCUGUCACCAAGGUCGGAGGCAACGGGAGCAGACACGGGUUUCCAUCCAUCCUUACAGAGUUCCAGCACCUGCUUUUGGAGUCCCAGCCUGCUCACCAGCCUCCCUUUUCGGACUGCUACCCUGGGGACUUCAAGCUCCAACAUCAGACGUGGAGGCAUCCAGCCAGCCCUCCAACUGGCCAAUCCCCUGUAAUAACGAACUGUUUAUUUCUCUAGUUUUCUAUCUAAAAUCUUGCCCUCUCCCACUGGUUCUGCUUCAGGGGCUCAGUGGAGACCCCUGACUCGUAUGUGUACUGUCAGAAAGGCAGGGGAACUGACCUGCCAUCCAAUCCCCUAUUCACAGCUGGGAGAACGGCGGUCCAGAGAGGCAUGCUGCUUUACUCAAGGUCACGCUGACAGCCAGUGACCAAGAAGCCACCAGAACCCGCACCCCCAGUUCCUGCGCCAGCGCUCCUUGUGCAGCCGUCUCCAUCAAUGCUCACACAUUCCCACCACAGAGGCUUUCUGAGACCCUCCUGCUGUCCGCUGCCAGGCCAGGUGUGGGGAUUUCGGGCCACAUCACAUGAGGGUCCUGCACUCGAUCUGCCCACAGUCUAGUGAGGAGACAGGUAGGUCUGUAGAUAGCGCUGACAUGCGGUCGCAAGUGCCCAGGUCAGGGGACAGCGAGCAUGGAAGCCUGUGGGCCCCAGAAGCCAGCCCCUCAUGAAACAUCAGAGGGAGGGGAUGGGUGGGGCAGCCACGAGAUACCCAACGCCGAUCUGCUCUGAGGAAACUCUCGAAGAGCUCUUCUUGCACACGGCCCUGGAAUGAAUCUGUGGACCGAGAACGUCCUGCAGUGCCAGCCCUGAACAGUCUGGAGGGGGGGGGGGAGGGGGAGGAUGCUCCCCUCCGUGCCCACUGGCCUCCCUGCUGCCCUCUGCUCAGCGAUGGCCGGAGGGGCAGGCAGGGCCGGGGCUUGGCGAGUGUCUGGAUCGCCAGUGACCAGCACAAUGACGACACAUAGUCAGCCUCUAGAAGGGCUCGUUGACCAAAGUGUGUUGCCGAUGCCUCACAGAGCAGUGUCCAGGGCUGUGCGAACCCCUCCCAGGGGCAAGGCCUCAGGCAGAGUGGAGAGGGCGGGGCCCCUUCAGAGCCGCUCCCGGCUCCUCCCUUCUCAUCAGUUCAUUGCAGAGGAGACAGAUCCUCAUCACCAGAGGGGACACGCGGAAGCCAUACAGGACACCACCCCUGAAGUGUUACAAACACCCUGCCUGGCCUUCCUAAGUCCUGCAGCCCUGGCCUGGGGACUCCCAGAAACACAAAGACCAGGGAGCGGCUGUGCUCACCAGCCCAGGGCUCACGCCGACGUGCUCUGGAGAACAAACUGCGCUGGUUUGGUGACCGAGGUGGGGAAGGAACCUGGCAGGGUGGGUGGCAGCGGGGAGGAACAGGACUGAAGCCACUUGUCCCUGUUUGCUCAUGGAUGAGCCAGAAACCCUCUGAACUUACUGGAAGGCUCCUGGGACCUUGUUUUCCUGAAACGGUACAAAAACAGGUUGGACCUCUCCAAUGUUUACUUGAGGACGUAAUUACUUAAGUACGAGCUGGGUUGCCUGGCAGGCUGGCAGAGGUAAAGGUGGGGCAGAGGCAUCUGCUGCUCACCUGGGCCUGAGAAGUCCUAGGAGGUGCGCGGCCCAACCCAGGACAGAGCAACCCGGAAGAGACUGAGUUGCGGCUGGAAGAGUCCUGGCGGCGGAGUAGGACAGAGUUGGUAGGAAUGCUGUGUGGCUCUGAGCAACUUACUUAACCUCUCUGAACUGCUGUCUUCAUCUGCUAAGUGGAAAUAGCAAUACUUCCCUUGCUAGGUGGUUGGAGGAUUGGCAGUGGUUGCCUGGCAGCCAGCAUUCAGGCAGAGGCUGUUGUUAGUAACAAAGUCCUCAUCUGGUGUUCUGGAGGCCCAGCCACCACCCUCAGUCUCCUUCACAAAUCGAUUCUAUCCCAGCAUGUACUCUCACUGCCGUGCGGCGGUUCCCCCCAGCCUCGCUGCUCCCAGACCUGAACAGCACUGCUUCAAGGCAUCAGGCGAUGUGGGUUGGCUGACACGAAAUGGCCACUGAGGCUGUGGAAACACUCGUAGGUGCUGGGAAAGGGUUCUCCCAGUUCAGCUCUGCCUUGUCAUGACUCAGCUUCCCUCUGCUCUUGUCUUCCUAAGCUCCCAAGGAGCCGCGUUUCUGCCCUGUGCCCUGAGGGCGUCUGGCUGCCUCUUUCAUCGGUCUCUCAUGACCGUCAAGGCUUUGCCGCUUGGCCCCAGUGCUGUGGCUUGGAAAGAAAUACAGACCUUGGUGCACUGAAAUUCCUGGUGAGGCUCAGGGCCACGCAGACGGCCCUGAGCAUGUUCAAAUGUGUUUUUAGGUUAACAUCAAAAUGACAGCACCCCAUUUUUAAAUUUUCAAGAAGAUGCUGCUCCCAGUCUGAGAAAGUCUGGACGGGGGUCACCAGGACCUGGCGCAGUCCCCCCAGCCUCUUCCUCACGUGUGACGCCUCUUGUUGCUGACCCUCCGGGCUCACAGGAGGAGCGGUGGGUGUGGACCCAGAGCCCUCAGCGGUGGCUGGAGGUGGACCGCACACAGCGGCUGGAAGCUUUCCUCCUCCCUGUCUCCAAGCCCUUCACAAUGACAUUGCAGCUCCCUCCUCAAGGGGCGGGGCGCCUGUUCCCUGCCCUUGAUCCAGGUGCGCCUGAGGCUUGCUCUGACCAGAGAACGCAGUGGACGUGAGGGUGCCGGGUCUGAGCCAGGCCCCUGAGGCUGGUGGGCUUUCCCUCUCUCAUUCGCCCCUCAAUUCCUCCCUUUAAACCCAGAGUCCUUGGUUUUGGGAAGGUGGCUCAGGUCCAGAGCUCCUCCCACGAGGGGAAAGCACCCUGGCACCGUGUCGAGUGGAGAGAAGGUACAGAGCGGGGAGAGACACAGGAAGUCUGCAGGCCUCCUGUCCCCAGGGGGGAAAGGAUGCAGAGGCUGACCGUGCCUGCCUCCUCGUUGAAGAAACUCCAGCAAGCUGGGAGACUGAAAUUACCUGCUGGCCUCAGCGAAGCCCCAGGACAAGGACAGCGUGCCUUGUCCCCUGCAUGAUGGCCGGGCAGGGAAGGCUCCUCUGGUAGCAGCUGCUGUCAAACUGUGUCAUUCUGCAGAAGGGACACUCCAAGCUCAUAGAUGCUAUGCCACGUCCUCAAGCCAAGAGGAAGCAAAGGGCGGGCUGGGGCCAGCUCCCGACCAGACGUUCUCAGCCUCUAUCAGGACAUGUGCGGCCCUGCCUCCCACUGCUCCCUACAAAAUCCAGAUCCGCUCACAUCUGAGAUUCUCUCCUAAGGGUGGAGCUCCGUGAGAGCUGCAGUCAAGUCUGCUUCACUUCUCCAUGUUCCUGGUGUCCAGCACUCCGUCUGGCCAGAGGAGGAGCCGGGGGGGGCUCUGAGGGAGCUUUCCCGACUCCCUCCCACCGAGUGCAGGCUCAAAGUCUUCUGUCGCAGCAUGUGUACCUCUCUCAGGCAGUACUUUAAGCAUGUGUAUAAGUGAGUAUUCAUAUACAUAUGUGAAUAUUCCUAUGUAUGUGUGUGUGUGUGCGCACGCCCAUCUUUGUCUACUGGAUUGUGAGUUCCUUCAUGACAUGGGCUGUGAGAUAGAUGCUAGAGAGAUAGAUAGAUAGAUAGAUAGAUAGAUAGACAGAUAGACAGACAGUGGGUAGGUAGAUGGAUAGGUGAGUGGGAGGAUAGACGGAUGUAUAGGUAGACAGACCCAACCCUCCAUCCCCUCUGACUGGGAGGGUGAUUUAUUCGUAACGGUCUCAGCUACUGUGGGAGGCAGGCAGGCAGGCAGAAUCCAGGACAAUCCUUGUCCCGAGGAGAACAGAGGAGCUGGGGGAAGACACUACGCAGCGAAGGCUCAGGGCUUGAAACUAGAGGGCCCAAUGUGUUCUUUGCCAUUCAGUUUCUCUGAGCUUACGUUGUCCUCUCUGUAAAAAGCAAAUGAUAACAGCAGGGUCUGCCUCUCGGGGAUAAAUGGAGCAUCAGCAUAAAAGAAUAUGCUUCAGAGGAACACAGAGUGGACAGGCCCCGGGCCUUGAAUCAGGCAGAGACGCUCAGGUACCACUGGAUGCGGAGGAAACUGCUUGACCCCCCCUAAGCCUCAGCUGCAAACUUGGGAGAGGAAGUUGCCCCUUGUCGGGGGUCUGUGACUGUGAAACAAGGCUCCGUAUGUGGAAGCAGGCGCUCAGCAGCGAUGGCCACCAAUGCUGCUGCUGUCAGUAACCUACUUCAGAAGGCCUGGCCCCGACCACUCGCAGUUUGCAAGGUCAGAGAGAUGCUGUGGAAACACCAGAGCGUGCAGGGCGCAGAGAAGGCGUAUGGUGACAAAGGCUCCCACAGGAGAAUGCGGGGCUCAGGGAGGACCGGAGUCAAGGAGAGCCCCUUAGAGGAGGUGGAGAGGCCGUGGGAGGAGAACCCUCCUCCCCAGACUCCCGAUAAAGGAGAGGUGUGGGAGGAGAGGUGUUGGCAAGGCGAGAAGAAGAGAGAUGUUUUAAAAACAAAAAAAAUGACAGUUCUUGGGGAAUUGCCAAUAUUUACUAACCUGUGGGCAUCUUCCCCCAGGAAGGGGCUGGGGGCCGGGCUGCUGGAGACAGCUGCUCACACAAACAGCGGAGGGACCUGGCUUCAGCUGUGCGUGUAGACCUGGACUGGGAACCGGAUCCACAUGAUGGUGGGAAAAAACAGUCUGGGGGCUCCGCUGCCCUGGGCAGCUCAAAGCUGGCACAGAGAGCCGGGAGGCCCGGGGUCCCGGGUUCUCCCGUCUAGUUGGGCCUCUGGUUCCUGCCGGCCUGAGAUAAUUGGCUUCUCUCUGCCCACCUGUCCAGGUUGGGAGCGCCCAGCUCCACCUCCUGUCCUUGUGUUGGGAGCGACUGUCCUGUCUGCUCGGCCCUCUCAGAGAAACUGGCCACCCUCAGUCCCUCUACCAAAGCCUCCAGGGCUUGAGGAGAGGCUGGUCCUCCUCACCCACAUUCCCUGGCCCGUGGGCCAGAGUUGAAGGGACCAGGGAGGGCCUGACCCAGGCAGCUGGUCCAAAGGUGGCCGGUACCCAACAGUGGCCAAUUAGAUGCUCUUUUCCAUGGAUCUGAACUUGGAAAGAAUUUUCAAGGUCUCAGAGGACAUGAAAGGAGUGGCUGCCUGUGCAGCAAAGGGCUGAGUGCGGGGGCAGGGGGGCUUGCAGAGGCUUUCUAUGGUAGAAAAGAGAGUGGAAGACGAAGAGGUGCUGAAGGAGGCAGGAAGGAAGGCGAGGAGGAGAAAGAGAGAGACCAACCACCCUAAAAUCCCCCCAGAGGGUCCCAGUAUCAGUCCCCACAAAUGCUUCCACUAAAUCCUAUGCUUCUUUUAUUUAUGGACUUUAUUUUUUUUCAUUUUUUUGGUGAGGAAGAUUGUCCCUGAGUUAACAUCUGUUGCCAAUCUUCCUCUUUUUUUUUUCCUCCCCAAAGCCCCAGUGCAUAAUUGUAUAUCCUAGUUGCAAGUCAUUCUAGCUUUUCUGUUUGGGAUGCCACCACAGCAUGGCUUGAUGAGUGGCAUGUAGGUCCAUGCCCAGGAUCCGAACUGGCAAACCCUGGGCUGUCAAAGCAAAGCAUGUAACCUUAACCACUUGGCCAUGGGGCCGGCCCCUGGACUUUAUUUUUUUAGCCUUUUGUAUUUUGAAAUAUAUAGAGAAAUACACAUAAAAAAAUAACCAUAGAGCUUAACAAACUAUCAGUGAGCUAAAGUAUAGGCCAGUUCGAGAAUCGGGAUUACAGCUCUUCUAAAGCUCUUUCUCUCUCCACCUCCUUCCCCCCAAAGUUGGCCAGAAUCAGGACUCAUGGCUUUUCUUCAUAAUCUUAUACAGCCAGCUAAGCAUGUGACCUUAAAGACUAUGGUUUAAUUUUGCCAGCUUUUAAACUUGACGUAAAUGGAACAUACCUACGUGUUCUUUUGAGUUCAGCUUCUCCCAUUUAAUGUAACAGUUUUUGAGAUUGAAUCACAUGUUGCCUGUAGUUUAGAUCACCGGUUCUCAGUGCUGUAGAUUACUGCAUGGUACACCACACUGCUAUGGUCGCAUCCAUUCUGCUAUGGGCAGACACAAAUAACUCUCCCCGGCCUGCCACCUGUGUCCUUUAGGUGUCCUGAGAAGACCUCUGAUUUUUACCACCAAUAAGCAACUUGAACAUGGGGAAACAGCACUCGACUUGAAAAUGGGGAAAUCCAGAGAAAUCUGAGUCCUUAUUAGGGACUGGAUCCUGGACCUCUCAGAGAACAGAGGUUCAGAUUCAUUUCACUUUCUGGGCCAAGAAAUCAACACAGAUUUUUUUGAGCAUACAGCGUCUGAAAGGAAAGGAGGGCAGGCCCCGAUGCGCAGGAGGCCACGGAAUACGGUGCCUCCGGCUCUGGGAGCGGAGAGGACUGCCAGGAGGAAGCAGUCUUUGGGAUGGUCUGAGAAGGAGAAUUCGUUCAGAGUAAACUGGAAAUUAUUUGAUUCAGUCUUUUGUACAGAAACCCUCCCAACGUCUGAGUCUCCUGGCUUCCUUGUCUCCCUAAGCCAGGUGGGCAUGGGGACCUCCUCCAUCCCCGUCCAAAGUAGCACCUGGCUCACACCUGUGUGGACGUUGAAACACACUGUCUGAACCUGGAGAGCAAUGGGGACCAGUAGGAGGGGAUUGCACAGGACAGGAGCUUGUCACAGAGCAGCCUCAGGAUGGAAGGAGAUGUACGAAACAAACAAGUGACCCAACUUCCCAUAACAGCAGGAGUUCUUGUGCAUGGGCACCUGGGCAUCGGGCUUCCAGUGACGGGAACCAGAGCGUGGUCCAGGUAGGUCACGGCCCCUGAGGCUGGGCUCUGCUGAUGCUGUGUGUGAAUGCGUGGGAUGCGGUCUGUACAUCCACAGGACAGGGACUUGGACAACCCAUGUUACAAGGGGUGGCAUUCCAGCAGGGCCAGAGGGAUCAAUUCAAGACAUGAUCUGGAUGUGGGCCCCACCCCUGACACUGGCUUGUUGAGCAAUGGUUCGCCUCUCUGGGCCUCGGCUCCUCUAUCUGUAAAGUGGGAGCUAGACUAGAUCUGUAGUCAUUCAUCCUCCAAUGUUGUAUGCUUCUGCACAUGCUCCGGGGAGGAGAGGCCCUCAUAAAUGAGAGUGUACACUGGAAGAAGACUGUUACGAUCAGGGCCAGCAUUAUAAACGAGAGCCCUUCUGGAGACCCACUGGCUGGCAAGGGUUUGGUUGGAGACAGCCCGCGUCUCCGUGGCCUGAUCGUAGUCAAGCCCGCAGGUGGCUUUAUUGCUUUAAGGAGACACACACCCAGAUGUGUUGGACACCUUACUGCACAACUUACUCUUUCAUCUCAUCACCAAGAACCUCUUUCCAGGGGAACACGGAUAGCUCAAACUCAUAACCCAUGGAACAGAUAUAAUAGUUCAUCCAACUAGCCCCUGUUAGUGCACAUGCAGGUCAUUUACAGGUUUUUUUUGCAAACAGUGAUGCGACAGACACCCGCGUACACACAUUCUCCCUUACCGCAGUUUUUAAUACACAGGUCAGAUCAUGUCACUGGCCUCCUCCAAGAUAAACACGCACUCCUUACCCUGGGUUUCCAGCAUGACCUGGCCCCGCUGCCCUCUCUGAGCUCACUUUGGAGCACCCUCCCGUGCCCAUUAGCUCCAGUUACGCUGGCCUGGUUGCAGGGCCUUGAACUCAUCAAAGCCAAUCAGCCUUGAGACCGCACAGCUGGUCCCGCCCCUGGAACGCUCUUCCUGGAUCUGCAAGGACUCCUUCCCCACCCACCGUUCAGAGCUCAGGCUGCGGGUCACCUCCUCUGAGGGGCCCUCCUGCUCAGCCAGUUUAAGUGGGCACCCUCACUCUCUAACAUCAUCUCAUGUCAAGUCUCUGCACAGCCUGUUGGGGGUUGAAUUGUGUCCUCUAAAAAGAUAUGUUGAUUUCUUAACUCCCACUACCUGGGGAUGUGACCUUAUUUGGAAGUAGUCUUUGCGGAGGUAGUCAAGUUAAGAUGAAGUCAUACUGGACUAGGAUGAACCUUAAUCCAGUUGCCGACAUCCGUAUAAGAGGAGGGACAUCUGGACAGAGAGACACAGAGAGGAGAAGGCCAGGUGAGACAAAUUGGAGUGACACGUCUACAAGCCAAGAGACGCCAAGGAAUGCUGGCAGCCACCAGAAGCGAGGAGAGAAGCAACAAACAGAUUCUCCCUCAGCCUCCAGAAGGAACUGGCCCUGCCCAAACCUUGAGUUUGGACUUCUGGCUGCCAGAAUUGGGGGGGAAUAUAUCACUGUCAUUUUAAGCCCCCCAGUUUGUGGUAAUUUAUUAUAACAGCCCUAGGAAACUAACACACAGCCUUCAUCCCCACCAGCACACUUCGAGUCUCUUUCUUUCUUUCUUUAUUUGUGGUCUGCUUCUCCCACAAGAACGUCAGCACCAUGAGAGCGGGGGCCUUGUCUGUCCUGUUCAUGGCCACGUCCUCAGUGCCUGACACACUGACGGUUUUUGAAUAAAGUGACAGUUUGUUAAUUUUUGAAGGAUACAGAUUCCUGUAAGUGGAUUGCAGAGUCAAAAUGUAAGUGCGUCUCAAUUCUGAUAGACAGUCAGAUUCCCUUCCCCAAAAUGUAGCUGUUGCCCUCCUCCGGGCAGGACAUAAGAGUGCCCGUUCUCACAUCCUGUUCAGCCCUGGACAGUGUCACCCUGUUUAAUAUUUGCCAUCUGGAGGGUGAACACGGGAUCUCAUUGCAAUUCUAGCUUUCGUUUUCCUGACUACUGGGGAAGGUGACCAUCUUUUCAUAGAGUCAUGUGCCAUUUGCACAUUUCCUGUGAGUUACUUGUUCCUAACAUUUUCCCAUUUUUCUAUUGGCAUGUGUGGCAGGCAGAAUAACGACCCACCUAAACAGUCCACGUCCUGAUCCCCGGAACCUGUGAGUAUGUCACUUUACACGGCAAAGUGGAACUAAGGUUGCAGAUGGAACUGAGUUUGCUGGUCAGCUGACCUUGAGAUGGGGAGAUCAUCCCGGGUUAUCCAGGUGAAGCAAAGGUCAUCACGAGGGUCCUAGUAAGUGGAAAAGGGGAGAAGAAAAGAGAGACCCAGAGAUGGCAGCGUGAGAAGGACUCAGCCUGGCAUUGCUGCCUUUGAGGAAGGAGGAAGAGGCCAAGGGCCAAGGAAUACAGGCAGCCUCUAGAAGCUGGAAAAGGCAAGGACACGGCUUUCCCCUGGAGCAUUUAGAAGGAGCCAGCCCAGUCAACACUUUGAUGUUGGCCCAAUGAUACUCAUUUUGGACUUCUGACCUUCAGAACUGUAAGACGAUAAGCUUAUGUUCUUUGAAGCCACUAAGUUUGUGAUAAUUUGUUAGAGCAGCAAUGAGAAAUUAGAACACUGUGUUUGAAUUUUUUUAAUCAAUCUGUAGAAGCCUGUUGUAUGUUAGGGAUAUAAGCCCUUUAUUUUCUUAUAUCCAUGCUACCCUCACCUUCUGGUACUGGAAUUAUUGAUUUAUAAGCUACCUGCUUCCUCCUUGAGCCCCCAAGGAGAGGGUCCACGUUUCAUCUUGGCAUUUCUAGCAAAGGAACAUCUGGCAGGUGCACCAUAAAUGCGGAAUGAAUGAAGGAACAGAAUAGCUUUGGGAAUAUCUUUACAUUCUGUCGUCCCUGCCCCCUCCCCAUCCCUGCACCACACAAGCACCAAGCCUUCAGAUAACGGGAAACCGGAUGUUGUCCCAUUUCUUGGCCUUGUCCCCCAGGCUUACCUCAGAUAUGAGGCUGACCGUGAAUUCCCCAGAUGACUGUGUCCCCAUGCCUCACUUCCCGAGUGGGGCCUGGAUAGGUAGCAGGACUGGGAAGGGACAUCUACACUCGGCAAAAUGCAGGGGCUGCAGAGGUGACGUGGCUGUGGGCGGCAGACACAGAAUGAGGUGGCUUCCCAAAUCCCCCAAUACUCCAGCAUGUCACAGGCUGCAGCAGGACAUUCUCCCAUGCAGACAAGAAUAGGGUCACUGCGACUCUACUGGUUGCAGAACUGGCCUGUUCUGAAGUCUGGGACCAGAGCAAAGAUGAAGGCAGCACAAUGGAAGUCUGCCCGGAAAGAUGACACCAAGCAGGACCAGAUGCUCUGCUCCAUUGCAGCUUUGCGGGGCGGUGAAGGAAACCCUGUGCUGAAUUAGUAAAUUCUGGAUUGACAGAGAUGAAAUGUCUACUAUUUAGAAUAACUGGGGCUUAAAGAGAGAGAUCUGUUGGAUCACUCACUCUGGGGGAAGCCGUGUCAUGAGCAGCCCCAUGGAGAGGUCUUUGCGGCAAGGAACUGCUGGCUGGUGCCGACAACCACAUGAGUCAGCUCGGAAGUCAAUUCUCCAGCUCCCGCUGAGCCUUGAGAUGACCAUGACUCUGUCCCACAGCUGGACACAACCUGAGAGAUGCCGAGCCAGAACGCCCAGCUAAGCUGCUCCUGAAUUCCUAACCCUCAGAAACUGUGAGAUAACAUUGUGUUGUUUGAAACCAUUAAGUUUUGGAGUAAUUUGUUAUGCAGCAAAAGUAAGAAAUAUCGGAAAUCCUUUUCCUUCACAGUUUUGAAAGCUUUGCUCUAUGGCUAAAGCUCUAGCUCUCCAGCGUUUCUGUUGAGAAAUCCAAAACAAUUCUGAGCCCGAUUCUUUGAACAUGACCCAUUUCCCCUGGAAGUUGUGGCACGUUCUCUUCAGCCCAUCUGUUCUGAGACUGGACAGUCAUUCGUCAUGUUGCGUCUCCAUGUUCCAUUGUGCUGGGCCCCUGGUGGGCUGCUUCAGUGUAGAAAUUCAUUUCUUUCACUUCUGGGACUUUUCUUGAAUUAUUUCAUUGACAAUUUACUCCUCUUCAUUUUCUCUAUUCUCCAUUCCUAGAAUUCUUUUUGUUCAUAUUUUGGAUCCGCUGGACCAGUCCUUAUUUUCUUACUCACUGCCCUCUUUUCCUCUAUUUUCCAUUUCUGUGUUUUUUGUCUUGCUUUCUGGGUCAUUUCUUUAUCCUCCAAUCUUUUAGUAAAGCUUUUUAUUUUCGUUUUUAUUCUGUGUUCUCUUCUUUUGUUGUUUUUACGGAGUGUUCCCUUUUUAUAGCAUCUUGUUCUUAUGUCAAGGAUGCAGUAUCUUCUAUUAUCACUCUAGAAAUAUCAAUACUAGAGUUUUAGGGGAACUUUUUGGUUUGUUUCUUCAAAAGUCUUCUUCCUCUGCAUAGUCACUGUCUUUUCAAGUUGUUUUCUCUUGUUUAUUUUCUUUGAUCUCUCUCCUUCAUGUGGAUGUCUGGCAACCUUGGUUCCUCUGUUGAUAUUUAAGAGUGGAGCACUAAAGAAUUGACUGGAAGCUCUUAGGCUUUAGGGGGUUGAAUUUGUUCCCCUGAGCCUCACCUUGGGUGAUGUGGAUGGACCACUGUGGAUGGACUGUUGGCCCUUGUUCUGGCUGUCCAUCACUGUGUCCAAAGCUUUGUGGCUUCAAACUACAGCACUGGAAUUGCUCACCAGUGUGCCAUCAGGACAGUGCUCAGUGGGGACAGCUCGUUUCUGCCCCAUUCAGCAACAACUGACAUAGCUUGAAGGCUGGGGGAUGAAGGCUUGCUCACUUGUCUGGCAUCUGGGCUGGGGAGACCCAAACAGGUGGAGCUCACACAGCUGGGCCUCCUUGGGCUUUUCUCCAUCUCUGUGUGCUCUCUCCAGCAUGGUGGCUCCAGGGUAGGUACAUUCCCUACAUGUUGGCUCAGGGCUCCCAAAACACUUGCCCAAGAGAAACAGCGAGCCAGGGCAGAAGACGUAUCACUUUUUAUGACCCAGCAUUGGAGGUCAUAUCAUUUCUUUCCCUAAAGCAGUCACAAAGGCCCACCCAGGCUUAAGGGAGGGAGAAUAGACCCCACCUCCUGAUAGGAGAAGUGUCAAAAUUCUGGAAGAGCAUAUGAGACCGGAGAUAUUGUUAUAGCCAUUUUUGAUACAAAGUAUCAUAAUACUUAAGUACACUGUGUGCUAGAAAAUUCGUUGUAUUAGUUCCCUAUUGCUGCCAUAACAAAUAAUCACAAGUUUAGUUCUUUUUUUUUUUUAAACUCUGACUUUAUUUUUAUUUAUUCUUUUUUUUAAGAUUUUUAUUUUUUCCUUUUUCUCCCCAAAGCCCCCCGGUACAUAGUUGUAUAUUCUUCGUUGUGGGUCCUUCUAGUUGUGGCAUGUGGGACGCUGCCUCAACGUGGUUUGAUGAGCAGUGCCAUGUCCGCGCCCAGGAUUCGAACCAACAAAACACUGGGCCACCUGCAGCGGAGCGCGUGAACUUAACCACUUAGCCACGGGGCCAACCCCUCUUUUUUUAUUUUUUAAAGAUUUUAUUUUUUCCUUUUUCUCCCCAAAGCCCCCCGGUACAUAGUUGUAUAUUCUUCGUUGUGGGUCCUUCUAGUUGUGGCAUGUGGGACGCUGCCUCAGCGUGGUUUGAUGAGCAGUGCCAUGUCUGUGCCCAGGAUUCAAACCAACGAAACACUGGGCCGCCUGCAGCGGGGUGCACGAACUUAACCACUCAGCCAUGGGGCCAGCCCCUAGUUCUUUAAAAACCACAAAUUUAUUGUUGUACAGUUCUGGACUUCAGAACUCCAAAAUGGAUCAGAAGUCCAGUGGGCCAAAUCAAGGGCUUGGCGGAGCCACACUCCCUCUCGAGGCUGCAGGGGAGAAUCCAUUUCCUUGUCUUUUCCUGCUUCUAGAAGCCGCCUACCUUCCUUGGCUUGUGGCCCCUUCCUCCAUCUUCACAGCACAUCACUCCAACCUUUUCUUCCAUUGUCACCUGCAAAGUCCAUUUUGCCCUGUAAGGUCCCAUACUCACAGAUUCUGUGGACUAGGAUGUGGACAUCUUUGGGGGGACAUUAUUCUGUAUACCAUAAUCAUGCACGUGGAGCCACUCAUUGCCUAGUGAUUUUGCAGUUAAUCAAUUAGUGAUUCGUGCGUAUCUUUCACACCUGGCAGAGUGCUCCAGUGGACACAAGCACCCUUCAUCCUUAUUCCUGGAGUGCCUUAUACCCUCCAGCUGGAAGCUUCCUUUGCAAGGCACAACCCAACCCUGGGUUUGCAGAAGCUCCUGACUGGCAUCAGCUCUAAACACCUUCCUCCUCAUACAUCAGACGGCUCGCUGAUCCCAGAAUUCUGAGCAAAUACAGUUCCACGUUCUCUUGCGAGCCUUCCCCAAUGCAGAGAAGCUAUCUGACACCAUGGAAAGAGCUCAGUUCAUACGUCUGGUGAAUACUUGGGCAACACUCUGACUCUCUCUAGACUUCAUUCCCCUUGGCUUUAACCUGGGAGGUGACACAGAUGAGAGGAGACACGUGAUCAGAGCCAAGUCCCACCUGUGUUUAAACUCAACUCGGUAGAUAAGCUCCUGAUGGACAGGUCAGAGAGGUGACAGUACAAGGGAGGCAGACGGAGUGCAGCAGGACAGGAGAGAGCCUUUCAGGAGCACGCUGCCUAGUAUCCACCCGCCGGGCUUCAGGCGGGCUGGGCCGCUCCCACGGUGCAGCCCCACCUGGACUCUGAAGUCCUGACCUCCCAUGCUCACCUCGCCACCUCCCACUCUUCCAGCCCUCCGCCACCUACUAAGUCUGCUCCUCCAGCUUGUCAAGGACGCUCAUUUCAUCUUUCUUUUCUAUAAUGAGAAAUUUCAAAACUACAGAACAGUGUAGAGAGCAAAAUAGCACACAUCCAUUUACCACCUGCUCGGUAGUGAUAAUUUUAACGAAGUUUGCUUCCAAUUUUUUUUUAAAGGCAUGAAAGCCUACAGGUAUAAUUGAAGUCCCAUGUGUUUGCCUUCUCAGUUCCUUUUCCCUUCCUAAGCUUAAUUAACUCUUUCCCUGCUAGAGGAAAGCACCAUCUCGACUUUGCUGUGUCCACGGUUUUAUUCUUCCCACACAUGUGUUCACCCAUAAAUAAUAGAUAACACCAUUCUACGUGUUUCAAAGAUUACAGACAUGAUCCAAAGCUACGUACAAACUCAAUGCAAUCCCUAUUAAAAUUCUAAGAGCAUUCUCCACAGAAAUGGAAAAGCUGAUCCUCAGAUGCAUAUGGCAUUGCAAGGGACCUCCAAUAGUCAAAACAAUCCUGAAAAAGAAGAAUUAGGUUGAGGACCCCACACUUUCUGAUUUCAAAACUUACUACAAAACUACAGUAAUUAAAACAUACUGGCCUAAGGAUGAUCAUAUAGACCAAUGGAAUAUAAUAGAGAGCCCAGAAAUAAACCCUCCCAUGUAUGGUCAGUUGAUUUUUGAUAAGGGUGCCAAGAUCGUUCAGUGGAGAAAGGACAGUCUUUCUAACAAAUGAUGCUGGGAAAACUGGAUAUCCCCAUGCCGAAGAAGUUGGACCUCUUACCUAACACUAUACACAAAAAGUAACUCAAUAUGGAUCAAAGACACAAACUUAAGAGCUAAAACUUUAAAAUUCUUCUAAGAAAACAUAGGGGAAAAUCUUCUUGACAUUGAAUUUUGCAACAAUGUCAUGGAUUUGACACCAAAAGUGCAGGUAACGAAAGGAAAAAUAAACUCAACUCCAUUGAAAUUUAGUCGAAGUUUUUAAAUUUGCUGGCAUAAAGUUUUUUGAUAAUAAUCUCUUUUUAUCUUCUUACAUCUGCAGGAUCUUUUUUGUUGCUCAUAUUGGUGACUUAUUUUGUUUUUCUUUUAUCUGGGAGUUUAUCAAUUUCAUCAUUUUUUUAAUAACCAAACUUUUUGCUUUGUUGAUCUUCUCUGUUGUAUAUCUGCUUUGUAUUUCAUUGAUUUGGAUUCCUAUUUUUAUUAUUUCCUUCUUUCUUUUUUCCUUGGGUUUAAGUUGCUGUUCAAAUUUAGAUAACUGUCUUUAAACUAUUUUCUCGUGUAACGUAUGCAUUUAAAGGUAUAAAUUUCUUUCUAAUCACUGCUUUGCCUAUUUGCCUCAGGCAUUUGUAUGCAGUAUUUUGAUUUUCAUUCUGUUCAAAGUAUUUUCUAUUCUCCUGUGUGGUUUCUUCCUUGAGCCACGGGUUAUUUACAAGUGUUCUGUUUCACAUCCAAACGUUUGGGGUUUCUAAGAAUCUUUCUCUUGUUCAUUUCUAGUUUAAUUCCACUUUGGUCAGAGAUCACACCCGGCAUGAUUUCACCUUUGGAAGUUUGUUAAGACUUGCUUUAUGGCCCAGCACAUGUUCUAUUUUGGUAACUAUGCCCUCGAAAAGGAAGUGUGUUCGCCCCUUGCGGGGUGCAGCCCUCUGUAACUGUUUAUUAAGUCAAGUUGAUUCAUUCUGCUGUUCAUAUUUUCUAUAUACUUUUACAUCUUUCAUCUCCUUUUUCUAUCAGUUGCUGAGAGAUUUGUUAAAAAUCUCCAGCUAUGACUACAGACUUGCCUAUUUGUCUCUUUUAUUCUGGAAAUACUCUAUUUCGUGUAUUGUGUAGCUCUGUUAUUAGGUGCAUACACAUUUACGAUUGUUACAUCUUCCGUUGAAUUAACCCUUUCAUCAUUAUGAAACGUCGCUCUUUACUUCCCUUACUACCACUUCUGGCUCUAAGGUCUAUUUUGUUUGAUAUCAAUAGAGCCACACCUUUUAUUUGGUGAGUAUUUGCAUGAUAUAACUUUUAUCAUCUUUUUAUUUUUUACCUUUCUAUGUCCUAUAUUUAAAGCGUAUUUUCUAAAUACCUAAUAGCUUUAGAACCAAACUGUUCAGGGCGGGUAGAGAAAGAAAGGGAAUGGAAAUAGAAGCAUGAAUUGCCCUUAUUUUUGAAGAAAAUUUAUGCUGGCUACACAACUUUUCUUUCUGCAAAGAUGCCAUCCCAUCGUCUUCUGGUUUCAUAGUUACAGUUGACAAAUCAGCCACAACUCAUCGUUGCUACUUUGAAUGUCACGUGUUUUAUCUUUCCGGCUGCUUGUCUUAUUUUCAGUUUGACGAUGAUGUGCCUAUGUGUGAUUUUCUUUGUAUUUCUUUUCCUUGGGAUUGACUGAGCUUUGCGAAUCCGUGAGUUGAUGUCUUUAUCUGAUUUUGAAAAUUCUUGUCCUUUAGCUCUUCAGAUUUCACUUGCCAUAUUCUCUUUCCCUCCUCUGUUUCUGGGAAUCCAGUGAUAUGUAUGUUAGACCUCUGACUGUGUUCCAUUAUCUGUCUUAUACUCUGAUCUGUUAUUUUAAUUGUUUUCUCUCUCUGUGCUUCAGUUUGAGUAUUUUCUAUAUACCUGUCUUUCAGCUCACUAAUCCUAUCAUCUCCUGUGUUUAGGUUGCCAUUAAAUCCACUCAAUGAAUUCUUAAUCUCAGAUACCAAAUUUUUUCAGUUCUUGAAUGUCUAUUUGAAUAUUUAUAAAUUCCAAUUCUCUGUAGAAAUUCUCCAUCUUUUCAUUCAUUUUGUCCAUCUUUUUCUACAUAUUCUUUUUGUAUUCUAUUAUACUAGUUAUUUUUAAAUCCUUGUCUGAUAACUCCAAUAGCUAAGUUAUCUGUGUUGUGAUGGUAGGUUGAACACCUCCAGCCAAAAUUUGGUUCAAACGUCAAGAUUGAUGACAUCACACACCAAGAGAAGAUGAAAAGAUUUAUUAUUUACAUAUGAAGAUUUCUGGGGAGAGCCUGGAAACUUCCCAAGGAGGUCUAAAAAUGGGUUAAGAGAGCAGAGAAAGGAGACUGGCUUUGGGGUCAUUAGAGGGCAGUGUUAAAAUUAAUAAAGGAAAUCUCAAAUAAAAUUGGAGUCAGGAAGGCCUGUAGAGGGAGCUCUCAUGUCCUACCACUCAAUUACCCCAAACAGGAAGAUGUCAAUUACAGACCCCAACAGGAAGAAGCAUCAGUUACCAACCUCAAGAGGAAGAGAUGUGCCUUACAAUCCCAAACAGGAAGUGCAACUACUUUACUACUCCAGUAAGGGGAAGACUUCCUUCUUGCCCAGCAAUAAGCACAACCAAUGGAAAACACUGCAGCCCAGUCAAUGAGAAUCUGUUGUCACUUGAACUAUCUCUCUAUUGCCAGAUGAAAUGCUACCUGAUUCAUGAAUUAUUUAAUAAAGUCAAUUCAAUCUUCGAA
ensembl:lncRNA